AAAAGAAUCACUGUGUGCUGCUGUUACCUGGGGGGGCCUCCGUCUCUUCAUCCCUUCUGCCAUUUCCAUGAAAGAACUGUGUGUACUGACUGCUCUUGUGGCUCAGGUGAUCUCCUCCAAGGAUCUUUCUGACAGAUGAAAGAUACUGAAGAUACCUUACCCAGACAGGACUUUCUAAAACAGAGCGGACUGCUUAUUGCUGAAAGACACUGCAAAUGGAGGCAGCAAAACCCCUCUGCAUGGGACAACAGGUGCACAUGAGACCCCCAGACACACUUCAGAAGAACAAUCUAGUUAGAAAACUGCUGGGGAAAACACUUCUGGUGAAUACCAACAUAUAUCGAAACUACAUGCCAUUGAUGACACUGACCUCACAUUUUAACAAGAAGUCAAAAUGUUUCAUUUACGUUUACUAGCUUAGGAGGGUUUUUUUUGUUGUUGUUGUUUUUAAACUGAGAUUUUUGGAAAAAAACACAACACUUUGCUAUGAAGCAGGAGGAAAAACUUAACCAAACUUCCAUGAAUUUGAACCUUUAGGAGAGUACACAUUAUUAUUUUGGUCCAUGCAACGAGUGAUUUCUUUGACUCUAAAACUGAAGUCAGCUGUAACAGAGAAUGGAGCUCCUUCUAAAGAGUAUACUAAUUUUCAGGGUGCACACUGAAGCUUUUUUAAAUCUCAUCACAUAGUUGACCUUUACCUCUACACAGCUGAUGAAUUACGGAAAAAGAGGAAAAAGAAAAAGAUGUAAAAAAUAUACAUAUGAAUUGUUGUGCACACAGACAUGCACUGGUGCAGGCAUUUGUUUGCUCUUUUAUCUCUAACUCACAAGAUUUUCAAGUCUACUGGGCAUGCCUAAAUCUAUCAUUUUAUUUGAUAGGUACAGCCACAUAAUGAGUGAAGAAUUGUCAUUUAGCAGAGACUUUCUCUGCACCUUGGGAUUCUUUGUGUGUCCAAAUUUGGGAGAUGAGACCUGGAACUGAGCAAGGAAAGAGAUAAAACAUUCCCAGCAGGAAGAGCUGGCAGCAAGGCUUAAAGGACAAUUCAAUGAAAACACCACCAAAUGUAGUGGCAUGCAGAGGAACUCGUGGAACAGUAUUCAGGUGCAGAGAUAUGAGAAGGAACUGAAGUGGAGAAGAAACAUUAAGAUUCACUGAUGUUACUGUUUAGCUAAGGUCAGCGGUAGCACUUGGGAUGUUCUAUUAGUGAUCCUGAAUGAAAAAUGCACAAAUAACAUCAUAUGGUGGCCAGGAAAGAUAUACUUCUCAUUUUCUCCCCAUUGUCAGCAAUAAUAAGAAAAUUAAAACCAAGGAAUAUGCUUGUCUGCAACUGUAUUCUCCCUCUGGGCUAUUUUGAGUAUUCCAUGGAAAUACAGUAGGGCAUUUUUGCCAAACGACUGCUGACCAUCAGUGAUCCUAGUGGCUGAAAGCAUGCAAAUGUGUGGCAGCAAACCUGUCUCUGACCUUCUAGAGCCGCAAGGUCAUUUCACACGUUUUUGUGGUGUAGUUCACCUCUGAAUGUCGUGCUCUCAGGGGUGAUCUAUGCUAGCAGUUAGUUUGGUGUGCACUUCCCUACCACUUGAGGACUGUAUCCAAGCACAGGCAAAUGUUUGGAAAGGGCACACAAACGUGGACGAAUGUUUGGCAAGUGUACCCAAACACUGGCAAGAAUGAAGAACAAGAAUGCUCUGAUGAUAUUCCCUGAAGAGAGCCCGCUCCAGCACCUGUGAGCACUUGCUAUAGGCACACUUUCUAGAGAUGAUAAACUUAACAGUGUUGGAGAGUGUGCACAGUAAGGAAUGGGUUCUGUAUUCAACAACUACAGCUUUGAAGCUUCUUAAGGCUCAGUUUUUUGUACAAGAGUAGUCUCUAAUAUGUGCUUUUUUCCAUUCUACAAAACAUAGAUUUUCCUUUAAAAAGUUAUAUCUGAUAGUUUAAAUGAAAUACAUUUUCCUCUAUUAAUCCUGAGCAAGAAAAAGAGUAACCAUGCAUCAUUUAACUCCUAUCUCAGGAAUUAAAACUACUACUGAUGAAAAAAAUGCGA